rnacentral:lncRNA from 1 species
UUUGCCCUAAAAGUUUAGAUAUAAAUUGAUUGACUUAAUUUAAUUUUCUUACCAAAUUUGAACUUAAUAAUAAUUUUUAAUUGCAUGUGUUAGCACAUUAAAUCUAAACAAGUCAUAUGUAAUAAAAGAUAUUUUAAGAUACAAUCCAUUAAAAUCAUUAUUUGUAUCUGUUGCACAUGAAACCUUCUCCAAUGAGCUGCUACUAAUCUUCAAUAUUCAAAAUUAAUUUAUUAAAA